rnacentral:rRNA from 1 species
AUGAACGCUAGCGGCAGGCUUAAUACAUGCAAGUCGAGGGGCAUCAAGGUACACGAAAGUGUAUUGUUGGCGACCGGCGGACGGGUGAGUAAUAGGUAGGUAACCUACCUCAUACUGAGGCAUAGCUGGGAGAAAUUCCAGGUAAUUCCUCAUGAGGUUAUAUGACACAUGUGAUAUAAUCAAAGGUAUCGCAAGGUACUGGUAUGAGAUGGGCUUACUGACCAUUAGCUAGUUGGUGAGAUAAGAGCUCACCAAGGCGAAGAUGGUUAGGGGUUUUGAGAGAGAGAUCCCCCACAUUGGAACUGAGAUACGGUCCAGACUCCUACGGGAGGCAGCAGUGGGGAAUUUUGGACAAUGGGGGCAACCCUGAUCCAGCCAUGCCGCGUGAGUGAAGAAGGCCUUCGGGUUGUAAAGCUCUUUCGGCCGGGAAGAAAUCGCAUAGGCUAAUACCCCGUGUGGAUGACGGUACCGGAAUAAGAAGCACCGGCUAACUACGUG